AAAAGCAAAGUAAUAAACUAAAAUAGAAAU
rnacentral:sRNA from 1 species